UGUGAUUUCUUCCUUAAUUUGAUUCUUCUCAAAAAUACCAAGAUGAUCUCAUCAUUCUCAUAAAAUUCUUUAAUGUUGUUAAUCUAUCUACUUGAGUUCUUUCUUUAGUGAUCUUUCAAUUGAAGCUCCAAAUUCUUCAUGCAGUCUAUCAUUUUUUUAUAUUCACUCUCAAUGUUGUCAAUUUUAAAUUAAUUAUUUCUAUGAUUAUAGCAAUCUUUUUUAGCUUAACAAUGUUAUCAAUCAAUUCUUUAGUAUUGAUUUUGGUAGUUAUAAUAAUUUUAACUUCUUAAAUUGAAUCUAUGAUCUCAAUCAUAUUGCUAAU
rnacentral:lncRNA from 1 species